UGCGGAGGACACAAAUAUCGCGGGCUCGAAGACGAGAUUUCUGACCUUCGAACCAACUCUUCCAGGCUUCUUUGCGAUCUCUGCAAGUUUACCGGGUCAAAGUCCAACAAAUCGUAAACAACCCGCGAAAGUCCGGACAAGUGGUGAAUAAGCGUAUGCUUCGACAGACAAAAUGGGGACAACAAAACAUUGUCUCAUGGCACCUGUAGAAAGGAUUCUAGAUUCCCGCAGUUGUGAAGGACAAAUGGCAAUAGGGACCCUGUACUAUUCUUCCAUAUUCCAGGAGAGAAAAGAAAAACAAAAAGUAACAUCCGGAAUCCCACGAGUGAGGACUGAAGAGUGAGCGAGUUUGACAGAUCUAUCAAUCGUGACACCGUCAAUCAAUCUAGUGCAUUUCAGCGUCUCUAAAAUGUGUUCUACAGUUCUUCGGUAAAGGUCAAAACAGGUUGCCCCGCCUAUAUCCGUUCUAAACUAAGUUUGAAAGACAGAGGCUGCCUCUGCCUGUCUGAUAGGUAUUACCGAUAUUCAGCAUCACGGAUACGAUAAGCGCGCGAACGUGGCUUUCGUUCAGAGUAUAACUGCAUUAAAGGCUGUUUUUUAGAGCCAUCGCUAAGGCAAGUGCAUGUUAAACUCACUCCAACCAAGAACCUAUCAUUGUCUCAAGCACCAGGCUAGUAAAUGUACCAGGCAUACCUGCAGCCAUUCCGAGUACUCGCUGACAAGUUAGAUUGGGCAAAACGGACGCACUACUCGACCGAAUGACAGAUCCCAGAUUUUGAUCCUUUCACUUAAAAAGCCCAGCUUAGCAUUAUAUUGUAAAGGGUGAUGUUAUCUGACCCCGGACCAUUAGCCUACCCAGCCCACAAACUUCACAUUUAUUACAAACACCUUGUGUAUUUGUAGCCGUUAUUGAAGCACGCGCCACUAGACCGGCGAACGGGAACGACGUCGCGAGUUGGCGUCAAUUUAAAUAUAAAGUACACGAAUAGACCCGACGCGGGAGCCAUCGCAAAACAAUCACUUAAUUCCCAUGGCAUUUCCUUAAACGCCAAGCGUUCCAUUUUGCUGGUUCUAUCUUAAUUCCAUCUUUUAAAAAACAUCCCGUUUUAAAAGUGCUUGUUGUCUUUAGAAUCUAUCUCUGAGUAAAAGAGUAAAAUACAGCUUCAAUGGAUUCAAACAACGCGGGAUUUGUAUUAAAAUCAUAAUCGGAUUGCGUGUCCUCCGAUAAAGCAGCAAAGGAACGAACUGAGAUACAUAUACAGGAUCGCGCCAUACUAUCUGCUUAUUGUUCUCAGCAAGUACAACAUUUCUGGGCGCAUUUUGAUGGACUGUUCCCGGGAUUAGCAUGACGUUAUUUUUAUAAGAUAUCUCGCUAUCGCUGCGGCGAUAAGCCGGUGCCUGGAGUGAAGUAAGAGUGAAUUGACAUGAUCCCUCUUACAACACCGUCCAAAAUACACACGUAGAGGAAUUGCGUUACAAGCCGGAUUGCGUUACAGGGGUAAAAUACGGCGUUUGCGUUAAUUGAAAUAAUACGUACUAAAAUAUAUUAAACAUUAAAAACCAGGCACUUAUAGUAAGUAAUUCAGGGGAUAUUGCAAUUAAGGAAAGUGAGAAUAUACAAGUUUCCUUUUA